UUGGCUUUGAAUCAAGACCACCAGCUUGUUGUAGCUGUUGGUUUCAAAUAGAGCCGACAUGAACUCCUUCCUGUGGUCUGUUGAUUUCUCCCAGAGUUAAUAUGGGGUUCAUCAUUUCAGUUGGAAGGAACACAA